GUGAGGAAUUUUCCGCAAUGGGCGAAAACCUGACGGAGCAAUGCCGCGUGAAGGAUGAAGGCCUAUGGGUUGUAAACUUCUUUUCUCAGAAAAGAAUUAUGACGGUAUCUGAGGAAUAAGCAUCGGCUAACUCUGUGCCAGCAGCCGCGGUAAGACAGAGGAUGCAAGCGUUAUCCGGAAUGAUUGGGCGUAAAGCGUCUGUAGGUUGUUUAAAAAGUAUUCUGUCAAAGAUUAGGGCUUAACCCUAGAUAGGCAGAAUAAACUUUUAAGCUAGAGUUUGGUAGAGGCAGAGGGAAUUCCCGGUGGAGCGGUGAAAUGCGUAGAUAUCGGGAGGAACACCAAAGGCGAAGGCACUCUGCUGGGCCAAUACUAACACUGAGAGACGAAAGCGAGGGGAGCAAAUGGGAUUAGAAACCCGUGUAGUCC
rnacentral:rRNA from 1 species